AGAGUUUGAUCCUGGCUCAGGAUGAACGCUAGCGGCAGGCUUAAUACAUGCAAGUCGUGGGGCAGCGCAGUGUAGCAAUACAUGGGCGGCGACCGGCAAACGGGUGCGGAACACGUACGCAACCUUCCUUUAACUGGAGAAUAGCCCCUCGAAAGAGGGAUUAAUACUCCGUAACAUCACGAUAUGGCAUCAUAAUGUGAUUAUAGCUCCGGCGGUUAAAGAUGGGCGUGCGCCUGAUUAGAUAGUUGGCGGGGUAACGGCCCACCAAGUCUGCGAUCAGUAACUGGUGUGAGAACACGACCAGUCACACGGGCACUGAGACACGGGCCCGACUCCUACGGGAGGCAGCAGUAAGGAAUAUUGGUCAAUGGACGCAAGUCUGAACCAGCCAUGCCGCGUGGAGGAUUAAGGCCCUCUGGGUUGUAAACUCCUUUUAUCUGGGAAGAAAUCCACGAAUUCUUUUGUGGUUGACGGUACCAGAGGAAUAAGCACCGGCUAACUCCGUGCCAGCAGCCGCGGUAAUACGGAGGGUGCAAGCGUUAUCCGGAUUCACUGGGUUUAAAGGGUGCGUAGGCGGGCAGGUAAGUCCGUGGUGAAAUCUCUGAGCUUAACUCAGAAACUGCCAUGGAUACUAUUUGUCUUGAAUGUUGUGGAGGUAAGCGGAAUAUGUCAUGUAGCGGUGAAAUGCUUAGAUAUGACAUAGAACACCAAUUGCGAAGGCAGCUUACUACACAAAUAUUGACGCUGAGGCACGAAAGCGUGGGGAUCAAACAGGAUUAGAUACCCUGGUAGUCG
rnacentral:rRNA from 1 species